UCUGACGUCAUAUAAGCCUCGCCCAAUCCCGCACACCAGUGCCAGACUGCUUGUCGUGAUAUUGCCGCCGCCUGUCCUGUGACGGUUCCCGGGAUCACGCCGUACACCGCUGCCACAGCCCGCCCGGUGUCAUGUCGUCACCUGCAGUGCCUGGCGAUGGCGCUAGCAGUAACAGGCGCCUCCAGCAGACGCAAGCUCAGGUCAAUGAGGUGGUGGACAUCAUGAGAGUCAAUGUGGACAAAGUUCUGGAGAGGGAUCAGAAAUUGUCCGACCUGGAUGAUCGGGCCGACGCCCUGCAAGCCGGAGCUUCGCAGUUUGAGACCAGCGCAGCCAAGCUAAAGAGGAAAUACUGGUGGAAGAACUGCAAGGUGCUGUGGCUGGUUAAAAUCAGGAAAAUAACAAGCGUAUGUAUGCGGGACGGAUAACCCAACAGGAAGCUGAGAUGUGGGCAAUACUAGUAGCGGUAGUGGUGGUAAUAAUCAUCAUUAUUAUUGUGUGGGCUACGACAAGCUGAAGAUGGAUGUCGAAUGAAGCUGACCAUUGAUGAGCAAGAGUACCCCAUAUCUUCUGUCGUUUAAGUCCUUUUUAGUAGUUUAGGGCUGGUAUUUUCUCUUGUUUGGCGUUUAAGUGCCUUUACUGAGAUAUUUUGAACACUUACUUUUUUUUUUUAAAUGCAACAAAGCACGUUUGCACAGUCUAAAUAUAACUUUAGCAACUUUAUUACUUUUUUUCAUGUUCACCCUUUCCUGGGUCUGGGGUAAUUUUCCUGUAUACAUCGUGACUUACAUUGUGCAUUUGUACUACUGCGUAGCCGCCUUUUAAUUGUUAUGAGACUGUAAGAAUUACUGCGAGUCUGCCUUUUUCUUAAAAUAUUUAACAGUGCAGCUUUUCAUACUAAAAUAUCAUUCGGAUGGUAAAAUCUCAAACAUUCCAAAAACCUGCCCUCUGUUACCUUGAUUACAAAAUUGCAAAUAGAGAAGUUCUGAGUCAGGUUGGUUUUUUAAAUUGGCAUUGUAGGUUUGCCUCUUUCUGGCUAGACAUAUUACCAAGUGCCUCUUCAUAAUGCGCAUGUUGGUCCGGUUACUGCACAGUAACUUGGAGGACAGCGAGUUACUAAAAUGUAAAACACUGGUUGCCGACAUCCUACCGUGUGAUGCUGCCUUACUGGGAGCUGAUGAAACGUGGGUUUUGUAACAUACAAUUCCGUCCCAACUCUUGCCAUGGUGUUAUGGGGGUGUCAACCCCCCCCCCCCACACACACACACACACACACACACACACACACACACACACACUAAUUUUUUUAAAUAGUUUAUAUAAAGCUAACUUGAAGAGUGUGAUUUUAUAUAUCUCUUGCACUUUAAGCUGCAUUUAACAUUAGCGCCUUGUGACUGGCCUUGUUUGAUUGAUAGAUAUAUAUAUAUAUAUAUAUAUUAUGCACAAGGCACUGUAUGAAGGCCAUUUCCUCCUUUAAAAACAAAAAAACUUUUUUUCCUGUGUAAAUACAACUAUGCCAUCAUUCCCACCUUCUCUUUAGGCACGAAGUAUCUUUGGUUUAGGCGAGUGUGCCUUCAAUGCCCUAAUGGGCAAUCUAAAACCUGCUAAGCUAAGCAGGCUUACAUGAUCGAUCCAACUAACACGAACAAGAGAAUCCUUUUUAAGGAGGUGUUCUGAGAGAAGAUUAAAGCAAUGCUCCCCUACGAUCCAAGCUCCACCCACCACAUCUGCUGUGGGGUCCUUGCUUUCUGUAAAGGUCCCACUCCAGCCGCUCUUAUCACCCUGGAUGCGCAGGCAUCGCUAACCCUACCCUGACGACCUCUUUGUACCGGAAUAACAAAUCAGCGGGUAAGGGCAUGAGUGGGAGUGUGCAAUGCAGUCACUACACCUAUCUAUGGAUAUAACACAUGAAGCGUGGUAAGGGUAUGCCGUUUGUUUUUCAUUUUAUUCUAUUUUAAUGCCACAUAAAAACCUAAAUUUUUAUUUACAUUUUGGGAAGCUGUGCCCACUGUGUGACAUCAUGCAGAUACCGUGACAGAUCCAUAAAUAGAUUUGUGAGGUCAGGCACUGUGGUGACAAAUAGUGUACCCACACCUUCCAUGUCACGUUAAGUGAGCUCAUCUCUGCGUCUCAGUGUCAGAAAGUGACUGUUCUAAUAAGCAUAUGUCACCUGUCCCCUAUUUAUGUAGCCAUGUUGCUGAAAGUUGCCCUAAAAAAGUUAACUCCUUGUUAGCCGAGGCUUUCAAUAUUAGUAUCCUAUAUCCAUAUUAUUUAUAUCCGUUCGAUUCAGAAUUCUAAACCUGACAGUGCGGCAUUAAAUAUUCUGCACAGUUCCAGAGCUGGAAGUAGUGACUAUUCGGAUCGCUGAUACAGAAACCUAAGUAAACGGCUUCUGUUGCCUUUCUCUGUAAUGGUCAUGCUGACUUGUUGGUUUUACUUGUAUCCAAGGCUACCAGCAAAGCCAGGUCAUUUAGAUGAAUGAUUACUGCUUUUAGCCAACGGUGCCUGGACCUGUGCCUUCCUCUGAACUGUUAUUAACCAUUUCUUACCAAAUACUCCCUCUCUCCCCCACCCCCCUUCCCCCCGACAAAAUAUUGCAACUAGUUUUCCAAAGAGGGAUUUCUGCCGUAAGUGCCUUGUACCAAUAAGUGCCUGUAGCUUGUGUUCUGCCGCAAUAUUUGCAAAUAUUUUGUUGCCAAAGACAAGGGGUCCGCUGGUUUUGUUAAUCUAUCUUGGCACCUGUAUAGUAGAGCCUAUGUGUACACGUAUAUACACACACACCAUUGUCUAACUUCAUGGUGUGUUCUCUUCUAAGAAGUAAGAGGUCACCACCAAUGUGCUAUGACCAUGUUUGGGUGGAGGGGGGCGGUAAAAAUAGUGACUCCAGCAUAUCUCAGCCUAUUCACGAAGUCUGGGGUACACAUCAGUAGUAGCUAAUUAGUUCAUCAGGCCUAGCCCUGGUUAGGAUAUAGGGACUUGGUUUAUCUGUCACAUGGCUUUUUGAAGGUGGUAGGGGGUGGUUAGCAAACCCUAAAUGUGGCAUAGAACACACCUGUCUAGACGUUGCAUUCAAAGGGCUGCCAAUCUUUGUUAUAUCCUACGCUCCUUUUUGUUGGUUUAUAAAUUAAUGUGAUGAUAAAGCAAAAAAGAAAACUAAUUUUGGUAUCCCUUUUCAUGAAUUCAGGUAAUUUCUUGUUUGCAUAUUUUAGGUCUAUUGUAAACUAACUUGCUUUUGUUGUAAUAAAGUCAUUUCUGCAGUUA